rnacentral:tRNA from 1 species
GGGUUUAUAACUCAGUUGGUAGAGUAUCGGGCUUUUAACCUGCAAGUCGUCAGUUCGAGCCUGACUAAACCCA